AAUGGGCACAGUCUCACCACAGAAGAGUGAAAGAGGAUCCUGGCAGGGAGACGGUAGUGUCCUGCAGAAUGGUGAUGGGCCAAUCUUACAAGAGACCACAGAAAACUGAUAUAGUGAACUAUAGAAACAACAGUGCCUGCUGCAGUAUAACGAGGACACCCUGAGCAGAGAGCUCCAAUAGACCCAGGUCCAGUGUCUUGGCAGGGUGAAAUGGCACUGAUAUGGUGUCCUGCAGGAUGCUGUGUCCUGCAAUCCUGUGUGCUGUGCUACAGACGCGUGUGGAGGUCAACCCAAAAUGGGCACAGUCUCACCACAGAAGAGUGA